ensembl:lncRNA
GAAGGCCUGUGCAUGAGGCAUUACCAUCCACGAGCUGCCUAGUGAUUGACACGCCUCCACGUGAUCAGCCAUGGCAAUGUGCUCUUCCCUUCCAGACUACUUAAAUUGUUUCGUGGUUCUAUUUUGUAUUUUUGUUUAUUGCCUACCUUUUCUUUCUUAGAGAAUUAUAUGAUAUUUUUAAGAAAUGGUGUUCUGUUCUCUCCUAUAAUUGAUGAGAUUCUUCUAUUCUGAAUACCGCAAUGCACCGUCGAGUUUUAAGGAACCAGCAUCAAGAAGAGCUGACAAUCAUCAGCUGGCAGCUCUCUUCAGGGAUUGCUCCCAGCUGAAGAGAUCUCCCCAUGCUCACGUGCUUCCUGGGGCAACCUGCAUCCAGUGACUCCCCCAUGCACAGAUAUGAAGACCAGGUGUUAUUUAUUCCCAAAAGCGUUCCUUAAUCACCUUCCUGAAUGCUUCCUUGCCAUCCCAGAGUCAGCUUCCUGAAAACGUCAGUCUGCAAUUGCUUCCAAUUCAAUUUCCCAGCUAAACUUCGAGUGUAUCCGGUUAGCCCCAAAUCCACUUCCAUCUCCCCGGUGCAUCACAUUCAUCUCUCUGCUGGAUCUUGGCCUUAACGUCCACCCCAUUCCAAUCAGUGCUCCUUUCUCCAGACAACAAGGACUUUCAAAGACGUUAAUCUAAUGAUGCUAAAACUUAAAAUUCCAUUAAAACUUGUUUUCAGUUUUCCAUUGCAUUUAAGAUCACGUCCAAUCUCCCUAACAUGGCUUUUCGUGAUCUGGUCCCCGAUUACAUUUCAAGGUUGUUCUGAAUCUUCUUUGUUCCUGUAGAAGCUCAUCUCCCCUUUCAAUUCCCUUUUUUGUUCCAGAUAUGAGAAACUUCUUUAAUUCUUUUAUAAAGUGACAUAACAUGCAAACCUAAUAUAAUAUAUUGUAAUGUCUAAAGAGGCUGACUCAGGAGGCUGUGGAAUCUACAUUUACACUAACUGAACCAUUUCAUCUGUAUGACUUCCAGGAGGUUAUUUACCUCCCUGAACCUCACUAUCUGUGUU